GACAGAGGGUGCAAACGUUGUUCGGAAUUACUGGGCGUAAAGCGCGUGUAGGCUGCUCGGAAAGUCGGAUGUGAAAGCCCUGGGCUCAACCUAGGAAGUGCAUUCGAAACUUCCGAGCUGGAGUGCUGGAGAGGAAGGCGGAAUUCUCGGUGUAGAGGUGAAAUUCGUAGAUAUCGAGAGGAACACCGGUGGCGAAGGCGGCCUUCUGGACAGCCACUGACGCUGAGGCGCGAAAGCGUGGGGAGCAAACAGG
rnacentral:rRNA from 1 species